rnacentral:rRNA from 1 species
UUGGAGGGCAAGUCUGGUGCCCGCAGCCGCGGUAAUUCCAGCUCCAAUAGCGUAUAUUAAAGUUGUUGCAGUUAAAAAGCUCGUAGUUGAAUUUUAGGCCUGACCGGGCGGUCCGUCUUUGGCGAGUACUGUCCUGUGUCGGGUCCACCUUCUGGUGAACCAGUAUGUCCUUUAUUGGGUGUGCCGGGGAGCCAGGACCAUUACCUUGAAAAAAUUAGAGUGUUUAAAGCAGGC